GAUGAACGCUGGCGGCGUGCCUAAUACAUGCAAGUCGAGCGAACGGACGAGAAGCUUGCUUCUCUGAUGUUAGCGGCGGACGGGUGAGUAACACGUGGAUAACCUACCUAUAAGGCUGGGAUAACUUCGGGAAACCGGAGCUAAUACCGGAUAAUAUUUUGAACCGCAUGGUUCAAAAGUGAAAGACGGUCUUGCUGUCACUUAUAGAUGGAUCCGCGCUGCAUUAGCUAGUUGGUAAGGUAACGGCUUACCAAGGCAACGAUGCAUAGCCGACCUGAGAGGGUGAUCGGCCACACUGGAACUGGGACACGGUCCAGACUCCUACGGGAGGCAGCAGUAGGGAAUCUUCCGCAAUGGGCGAAAGCCUGACGGAGCAACGCCGCGUGAGUGAUGAAGGUCUUCGGAUCGUAAAACUCUGUUAUUAGGGAAGAACAUAUGUGUAAGUAACUGUGCACAUCUUGACGGUACCUAAUCAGAAAGCCACGGCUAACUACGUG
rnacentral:rRNA from 1 species